GUCACUCUAUAUGUUUCCAUCAAGAAAAGAAAGACAGAAACAUGUUUUUUUUUGUUGUUGUUGUUUUCUUAAAGUCCCUUUUGCAAGCAGAAAAGACAGUUUAUUGGUGGAGGCGUGGCAUGCAUGCCUGUGAAGUUUGCAAUAUGGAGAUGCCGGCAGGUAGUCGUGUAUGAGCCACCUCUCAAACAGGCUGUGAGUGAUCCAGGUGCAGGGGACCUGCUGGAGUGAAGCUUUUGGCAUGAUAAUUCAAUCCACGUUACUCCAUUGCCAUUUGUUACCACGUCCUUCAGUCUCCUCAAUCUCUCAGUCCCCUUAUUUUUCGUGACCUUGACAACUUUGAGGAGGACUCAUCAGUUCCUGCCCAGGCUGACUCUAUCAUACAAGCUGUAACUUCUGCCAGUCCUAUCAGCCAGCAAACAGAAAAUAAAACAUGUCUAGUAAGAAAGAUGAAACAAAGAAAGAGUUGGGAUGUCGAGAAACUGCAAUUCCUAUUAAGAACACUUGACUGUUUACUCAGCACGAGAACGUCAGCCCCAGCCUGCAUCAAUCUAAAUGCGUUUCGAGACGUCAGGCCCCCGAAAAGUGCAGACGGGGAAGCAAACUGAGUGUGGUGGAAAGAACACAAACUUUAGAAUCAGCUGUCAAAGGAAAUAAGGAAGCUGACCCUGAAGAAAUAAUGGGGGCUAAGUGGGAGCGUGUACAUAGAAGCCCUCACUAGAGGAGUUGACUCUCCAGGAGGUGAAAGUGAGAGAAAGACACACAUCACCUGCUGUACUUCCAUUUGGAGCUUGGUUCUUAAGAUGGGGAAAACGAUUUUGCAGGUGAAACUCAGAAAGAUGAAGCAGCUUUCCAGAACCACAAAGCGAACCGAGGGCAACAUGAAGACGAAGACUCAGGUCUCUUUAUUCUUCUCAAAGUGAUCUUUCCAUUGUGUCGCGAGGCUGCUACUUGGCGAUCUUCAGAACAUUAGGACAAAGUAACUCACCAAUCAGGGGUUUACUGCCUUACCUGCCGGAUCUGUUAGCCUCCACAGACCUCAAUCCUACCCCCCAUAAGAUGGAUCACAGAAGGUUAGCAAAAUGGCUUAAAGAGUCUUUCUUUUUUCAGCAUCUCAGGGUCGGAUGACAAAAACAUGCUCAGAGCUGCAUUCCCCAAAGCAAGAGUCAUGUGGGCAGGCACACAGGCUGGGUGCAAAGGAAGGUCAAAGAAGUUUGGAAAAAUUCUGUUUUCAAUCGUUUCUUUGCAGCAGAUUUAGAAGGAUCAUGUGCCCUAUGUGAAUACCCUAGAGGGACAAGCUAUGAAUUAUUUCCCAACUUAUUUGUGUAGAGACUUUUUUUUUUUUUUUUUUUUGCAAAGAAUAUCUUGCAGUACUAACGAUCUGUGGAUAAUACUUCAAGUAAGGAUGCUUUAGACCACUGGUCAACAAAUUAUGGUCCACAGAUCAAAUAUGUCUUGCAAAUAAAGUUUUAUUGCUGCACAGACACAUUUGGAACGCAGAGACUAAGUGGCCCACAGAGUCAAUAUUUACUAUCUGGUUCUUUAGAAAAGAAGUGUGUAUCCCCUUUAGAGAAUAGUACUAUGGGCUCCUUGUACUUUAUAUUGUAACUUAGAGCCUCAGCAUUAGUUACCAUAAAUGUUGGAGACAGAACAUUUUCCCUCCUUCCUAACAGUACAAUGGAGUCUAUCCACUGAGAUGGUUGUUAUGGACACAUGCUUAGAGUUUUCACUUACAGUCCAUCUAAGCAUCCAUUCACAGAUGAUAUGGUUUGUCUAUGUCCCCACCCAAAUCUCAUCCUGAAUUGUAGCUCCCACAAUUCCCAUGUUUCAUGGGAGGGACCCAGUGGGAGGUAAUUGAAUCAUGGGAUGGGUCCUUCCCACACUGUUCUUGUCAUGGUGAAUUAGUCUCACAGGAUCUGAUGGUUUCAUAAAGGAGAGUUCCCCUACACACUCUCUUUCUCUUUGGCUGCUGCCAUCCAUGUAAGAUAUGACUUGCUCCUCCUUGCUUUCCACCAUGAUUGUGAGGCCUCCCCAGCCAUGUGGAAAUGUGAGUCC
rnacentral:lncRNA from 10 species